rnacentral:rRNA from 1 species
UGGGGAAUAUUGGGCAAUGGGCGCAAGCCUGACCCAGCGACGCCGCGUGAGGGAAGACAGCCUUCGGGUUGUAAACCUCUGUUGCAGGGGAAGAAGGAAGUGACGGUACCCUGCGAGGAAGCUCCGGCUAACUACGUGCCAGCAGCCGCGGUAAUACGUAGGGAGCGAGCGUUGUCCGGAAUUACUGGGCGUAAAGGGCGCGUAGGCGGCGCUUCAAGUCGUCUGUCAAAAGCCGAGGCUCAACCUCGGCGCGCAGACGAAACUGGAGAGCUUGAGAAGCAGAGAGGCAAACAGAAUUCCUGGUGUAGCGGUGAAAUGCGUAGAUAUCAGGAAGAAUACCAGUGGCGAAGGCGGUUUGCUGGCUGCAUACUGACGCUGAAGCGCGAAAGCCAGGGGAGCAAACGGG